AGUGAACGCUGGCGGUAGGCCUAACACAUGCAAGUCGAACGGCAGCACAGUAAGAGCUUGCUCUUACGGGUGGCGAGUGGCGGACGGGUGAGGAAUACAUCGGAAUCUAAUUUUUCGUGGGGGAUAACGUAGGGAAACUUACGCUAAUACCGCAUACGACCUACGGGUGAAAGCAAGGGAUCUUCGGACCUUGCGCAUUUGAAUUAGACGAUGUCGGAUUAGCUAGUUGGCGGGGUAAAGGCCCACCAAGGCGACGAUCCGUAGCUGGUCUGAGAGGAUGAUCAGCCACACUGGAACUGAGACACGGUCCAGACUCCUACGGGAGGCAGCAGUGGGGAAUAUUGGACAAUGGGCGCAAGCCUGAUCCAGCCAUACCGCGUGAGUGAAGAAGGCCUUCGGGUUGUAAAGCCCUUUUGUUGGGAAAGAAAAGCAGCAGGUUAAUACCCCGCUGUUCUGACGGUACCCAAAGAAUAAGCACCGGCUAACUUCGUG
rnacentral:rRNA from 1 species